rnacentral:rRNA from 1 species
UACGUAGGUGGCAAGCGUUGUCCGGAUUUACUGGGCGUAAAGGGCGUGCAGGCGGUCUGUUAAGUGCAGGGUGAAAGCUCCCGGCUCAACUGGGAGAGGUCCUUGCAUACUGGCGGACUUGAGGGGGGUAGAGGAAAGUGGAAUUCCCGGUGUAGUGGUGAUAUGCGUAGAUAUCAGGAGGAACACCGAUGGCGAAGGCAGGUCUCUGGGCAUUAACUGACGCUGAGGAGCGAAAGCAUGGGGAGCGAACAGG